UACGUAGGAGGCGAGCGUUGUCCGGAAUCACUGGGCGUAAAGCGCGUGUAGGCGGGAAGGCAAGUCUGCUGUGAAAACCCGGGGCUCAACCCCGGGCCUGCAGCCGAUACGGGCAGACUAGAGUUCGGCAGGGGAGACUGGAAUUCCUGGUGUAGCGGUGAAAUGCGCAGAUAUCAGGAGGAACACCGGUGGCGAAGGCGGGUCUCUGGGCCGAUACUGACGCUGAGGAGCGAAGGCGUGGGGAGCGAACAGG
rnacentral:rRNA from 1 species